AUACGUAGGCACCAAGCGUUGUUCGGAAUUACUGGGCGUAAAGCGAGUGUAGGCGGUUUGCCAAGUCCGUUGUGAAAUCUCCUGGCUCAACUGGGAGGGUGCGGCGGAAACUGGCAGGCUAGAGUGCGGAAGAGGAGAGUGGAAUUCCUGGUGUAGCGGUGAAAUGCGUAGAUAUCAGGAGGAACACCGGCGGUGAAGACGGCUCUCUGGACCGCAACUGACGCUGAGACUCGAAAGCGUGGGGAGCAAACAGGAUUAGAUACCCCGGUAGUCC
rnacentral:rRNA from 1 species